ACCGUUCAGAACUAAUGGUGUGUCCUGUGUGACUGUGGUUGGGGCUUCAGCAUGCACAUCCUCUUUCUACAGAAUCACUCUUAGCUCCUCCAUGCAGCAGCCUCGGUGAUGAGCUUCAAUCCGAUCAUAACUAAGUAUGUAGUUCCUGCUGGAUCCAUUCUUACCUGCGGUGCUGCUUGAAGGGUUUGAUGCAACGACGCUGGAUGUUGCUUGAGCCUAAGCCGACACCCUUGGAUCUGUUAGUAGUCUGCUUGGAAGCAGCGAUUAUAUAGAGUUCAAAAAAAUAACAACAGAUUAAAGUGUAAACCGGCAAGAAAACGAACCUGUUCUAGACGAGGAAUUUAUUUGAUCUAAUGAACUCCUUAAGCACACUGAAUCCAUAUGCCCGAGCUUACUUUGUUUUCCACUGGAUGGAGAGGGAGAGAGAGAUAAUGGAGAUGAGGAACGGGCCUUGGAUGGAUUGGAUCUGUUGUACAUGUGAAAGAGAUAUAGAUUAUGUAGAAGAUAGGAAGAGUUCGUGAAGGG
rnacentral:lncRNA from 1 species